CUGAAGAGUUUGAUCAUGGCUCAGAUUGAACGCUGGCGGCAGGCUUAACACAUGCAAGUCGAGGGG
rnacentral:rRNA from 1 species